AGUUGUUAAGUGAGCGUGUCAGGAUUCCAGCCAUCGCUCUAAUUAAAUCAUGAUUCUCGAGCCCAACUUCAAAAAACUUCAAAGGAUUCAUUAGCGGCGACAUGCUGGCACUGCCCUGUGUGAAGUCAACUCUGGCGUAUGUAAUUUACAGUCCCCUGUGACCCUGUUUCCCCCCCUCUCCCCAGGUGUCUCAUAAACCAGAUUCUCCAAUUGAGCACGUUCACGGGCUGGGUGUCAUCA